GGCUUAGUGGUGUAGUGGUAGCAUAUCCUAAUAUCAACGGACUGAGUAUGAACUCAGAUAAAUCGUUGAUGCUGGGGAGGUCGUGGGUUCAAAUCCCACCUAGGCUG
rnacentral:tRNA from 1 species